UAGCAUCUCGUCCAGGUCAGAGUUCGAGGUGCACCCAACUUUUGAUACAGCACUUCAUGGUUCCUCGAAUGCCAUUGGUGACAUAUGUGACAGGACUUGUUGUAAUAAAGUGUUGUCUUAUGUGACCAAAAACUUGCUAUGAUUUGAUUUGAACCAGUGUUAGUGUACCACAUACUGUGAUGCUUGAAAGAUAGGUGGGAUGUAAUAAAAAUAAGCUUGUCAAUUUUUGUGCGGGACAGCGGUUGUGAAGGACGCUUCCUGUUAUCUCAGAAACUAGCAGCUUGACCCCCCAUUUUCUGUGAUUUAUUUCAAGGUUGCUGAGUUCGCAGUGUUUCAACUUUAGAGAGAUCUGCAACAACUUUACUGCCGGCAGAAAACGUACAGCCCAUGUCUUUUGAAAGUAAGAGUAAAGAUUCUGCAGGCCCAUUGUUAAUGGUAUGGACUGCACUGUGGGCCCUAGCUGCGAAAUUCCUGCUGAAGGUGGUGUGUCUGGUUCUUUGGCAUCCACUGGCUGAUGGUGCAGGGAUAUUCAUGCACAAACACAAUAGACGGAAGUUUUCGGCACCUAUGGGCAUUUUUGUGAGCCCAACCUGAACUGUCACAUUUGGCUGAGCUGCCCUCCGCCCCCUGGAUCUUACUUCAGUUUUCUCCACUUCGUCAUACAAGGACAUGUAAGGCUGUCCUUCUCAAAUGUAGCCCACUGCACACUUUCUGAAAGUGUGUGGUAGCAGUAUAGGUAGUAGUCUACCAAAUAGCAUCUCGUCCAGGUCAGAGUUCGAGGUGCACCCAACUUUUGAUACAGCACUUCAUGGUUCCUCGAAUGCCAUUGGUGAUAUAUGUGACAGGACUUGUUGUAAUAAAGUGUUGUCUUAUGUGACCAAAAACUUGCUAUGAUUUGAUUUGAACCAGUGUUAGUGUACCACAUACUGUGAUGCUUGAAAGAUAGGUGGGAUGUAAUAAAAAUAAGCUUGUCAAUUUUUGUGCGGGACAGCGGUUGUGAAGGACGCUUCCUGUUAUCUCAGAAACUAGCAGCUUGACCCCCCAUUUUCUGUGAUUUAUUUCAAGGGUGAGGUGUUCUAGUAUUUAUAUAUGUUGUGUGUAUGUUGAUUGAUACGUUGCAUCUAACUGUUAUACCCCCAUAUGUUACUAUGGUCGUCUAUGGGAUUUUAUUUGGUGUUAUACACCCUAAAGAGAGGACCGACGCAUCACAGAAUACCGUUAAUCUGCCAAACCGUAAGUAACCGUUAAUUAUAAUCUAAAUACUCGGUAAAAUCACGACAGCACGCUACAGAAAAACACGUCAGGGUUUACUCCGCGAUCACUGGAUAUUCUUGAAAACGCCACUACGAUUUCGGCCGCAAAUGUUCGAUCACAGUCAGCUAGAGGUCGCGGUAUAGGAUUCGGCAGAAACAUGUAUGGCAGAGGACGUGCAAGACAGUUCUCCAGUUUUAACAGAGAUGUGCAA